UACGAAUGGAGCGAGCGUUGUUCGGAAUCACUGGGCGUAAAGGGUGCGCAGGCGGUCUUGAAAGUUAGAAGUGAAAGCCCUGGGCUUAACCCAGGAAUUGCUUUUAAAACUCCAAGACUAGAGUACUGGAGAGGUUAGCGGAAUUCCAAGUGUAGCAGUGAAAUGCGUAGAUAUUUGGAGGAACACCAAUGGCGUAGGCAGCUAACUGGACAGUAACUGACGCUCAUGCACGAAAGCGUGGGGAUCAAACAGG
rnacentral:rRNA from 1 species